rnacentral:rRNA from 1 species
UACAGAGGUCUCAAGCGUUGUUCGGAUUCAUUGGGCGUAAAGGGUGCGUAGGUGGCGGGGUAAGUCAGGUGUGAAAUUUCGGAGCUCAACUCCGAAACUGCAUUUGAUACUGCCUUGCUUGAGGACUGGAGAGGAGACUGGAAUUCACGGUGUAGCAGUGAAAUGCGUAGAUAUCGUGAGGAAGACCAGUGGCGAAGGCGGGUCUCUGGGCCGUAACUGACGCUGAGGAGCGAAAGCAUGGGGAGCGAACAGG